ACAUGCAAGUCGAACGCAACCUUCGGGUUGAGUGGCGGACGGGUGAGUAACGCGUGAGAAUCUGCCUUGGGGUCGGGGACAACCACUGGAAACGGUGGCUAAUACCGGAUAAGCCUUUGGGUAAAAGAUUUAUUGCCCCAAGAGGAGCUCGCGUCUGAUUAGCUAGUUGGUGAGGUAAGAGCUCACCAAGGCAGCGAUCAGUAGCCGGUCUGAGAGGACGAUCAGCCACACUGGGACUGAGACACGGCCCAGACUCCUACGGGAGGCAGCAGUGGGGAAUUUUCCGCAAUGGGCGAAAGCCUGACGGAGCAAGACCGCGUGAGGGAGGAAGGCUCUUGGGUUGUAAACCUCUUUUCUCAGGGAAGAAGCUCUGACGGUACCUGAGGAAUCAGCCUCGGCUAACUCCGUGCCAGCAGCCGCGGUAAUACGGAGGAGGCAAGCGUUAUCCGGAAUUAUUGGGCGUAAAGCGUCCGCAGGUGGCGAUUCAAGUCUGCUGUCAAAGCACGGGGCUUAACUCCGUUAAGGCAGUGGAAACUGAAUAGCUAGAGUGCCGUAGGGGUAGAGGGAAUUCCCGGUGUAGCGGUGAAAUGCGUAGAGAUCGGGAAGAACAUCGGUGGCGAAAGCGCUCUACUGGACGGCAACUGACACUCAGGGACGAAAGCUAGGGGAGCGAAUGGGAUUAGAUACCCCAGUAGUCCUAGCUGUAAACGAUGGAUACUAGGUGUAGCUUGUAUCGACCCGAGCUGUGCCGAAGCUAACGCGUUAAGUAUCCCGCCUGGGGAGUACGCACGCAAGUGUGAAACUCAAAGGAAUUGACGGGGGCCCGCACAAGCGGUGGAGUAUGUGGUUUAAUUCGAUGCAACGCGAGGAACCUUACCAGGGCUUGACAUGUCCGGAAUCCCGGUGAAAGCUGGGAAGUGCCUUCGGGAGCCGGAACACAGGUGGUGCAUGGGUGUCGUCAGCUCGUGUCG
rnacentral:rRNA from 1 species